CCAUUGGAAAAAUGUAGUACCUAGGGCGGGUCCAUAGUCCUUCACUGCUUCCCUUGGAUAGGGGAGGGAGGUCCCUCGGCUCAUUGUACUUCCUGGAUGAAGCAAUGCCCCACCCUGCUUCUGCUAGCUCACUGUGGGUUGCACCCACCGCCUAACCAGUUCCAUUGAGAUGAACUGGGUAUGUCAGUUGGAAAUGCAGAAACCACCCACCUUCUCUGUUGGUCUCGCUGGGUGCUGCAAACCAGAGCCGUUUCUAUUCAGCCAUCUUGGCCCUUCCUCCCAUCUGUAUAUCUUAAUUUUACCUUUCUUUUUGAAAGCUAACUUGGGAGAAUAUAGAAUUCUAGGCAAAAUUGUUGAGCCAAGGUCCUGGAACUGUGAGUAAGAAAAUGACAAACCCAUCUCUCAGUGGCACCCCUACUGCAGGAGUUGAGCACUCAUUAGAGAAGAGCAGCAGGAAAUGGACCUGAAUAUCCUCUUAGCAGCCAUGACUGGAUGCCAAAUGGGACAAAGAAGAACUUUGAAUAUGACAUCACACUACCUCCUGCACUGUGGUUCCUGAUAAGAAAUCAGCCAUUCAUCUUACUGAGACUCCUUGAUUGGUGCCCUCAUAAGAAGAGAAAGACACACCAAAGCACUUCCUUUGAUGUGAAGAUACAGUGAUAAGGUAGCACUUUCCAGGAUCUUACUGUUACCCAGGAUGAAGUACUGUGGCAUGAUCACAGCUCCCUGAAGCCUCAACCUCUCCAAGCUCAGGUGAUUUCUUCCACCUCAGCCUCCAAAGUAGCUGGGACUACAGGCAUGCGCCACUACACCCAGCUAAUUUUUUUGUGUGUUUUGGAGAGAUAGGGUUUCAUCAUGUUGCCCAGGCUGGUCUGAAACUCCUGGACUCAAGCAAUCUACCCACCUGGGCCUCCCAAAGUGCUAGGAUUACAGGCAUGAGCCACUACGCCCAGCAAGGUAAUGAUUAAACUAAAAGUAAUUGAAAUAUUGGCAUCUUGAUUUAUAUAAUAUGUAUUUAUCAGUUUUUCUAUUAUAAGAGGACAAAUAAGACAGAAAGUUGGUAGUCAAGUCAGUCAAAACAAGACAGUGUCUAAUUUGAGAUUAUAAACAUUAUAAUGCAUGAGAAAAACCAAACGCACUUCACAUUAAAGGUAUUUUUUAUGCAUUCACACUGGCGAGCAUCGAAGUUUACCUUUAUUGACACAUAAAAAGUUAUUGUAGAUUGUUAUGACACAUUAUUUCUUGCUGCCUUUUUUAUCUUAAUGACUUUCGCAAAACAAUGUGAUAUAAAUUGCUACUAGCAUAAAACACAUUCCAGCAAUAGAUAAAAACAGUUUCUUGGCUGCAAGAAGCAUAUAUUUCAACACCUGCUUCAGGCACAAUACAUUGAAAUUUAUGCCCUCUACUGUUAUUUGAGUAAUGCUCUUUCUGUUGUUUCUCACUGGGGAACUACAAUACUAAUAUCUUAAUUUUUCAGACAUCAAUAUUAGUUUAAUGAGUGAGACAUAAUUGCAAAACUUGCUAAUAAGGUACAAACCAAAAAGUCUUUAAAAAAAUUGCAAAAUCAGCAACUUGAAAGAGUUUUCGAACUUUAAAAUUGAUAAAUCAUACUCUGUUUAAAAUUAAAGUCAAUAAAAAGAGUAUUUUUUCCGUAUCAGUUGAUUUUCUAUAGGCUUAACGCCUAUACUGCACUAUAAAUUCACUCAAUAAAGGUCUUUUCUAAAAAAAAUUUUUAUAAAAUAAAAUAACCUGUACACACUAUGUUUUAUUAAUUAAAAAUAUUAAGAGAUAAUUUUAAAUGCCAUCUUACACUAAUUUCUGGAACUAUAAAGAGAAAUAUUUCACCAUCAUAGACCUCAAAGGCAGUCUUUACAGGAUUCAGACAAUACGUCCAACAUAGGAAGUGUUAUGGGUAAGGUGAGAGGGCUCUGGGGGGUAUUAGUUAUGGGGUGUGGAUGGGUCAGAGAAAAUUUCCCAGGGUAGGUAAUAUCUACAUUGCUUGAGUAACAGUUAUUCCUACGGUGUUACAGAGAGCCAUGACUACAAAAGCUCAGGGCUUAGAGAGAACCUGAGAGAUUCUGCCAACUUCAGAUACUUUUGCCUGGGUUGAAUGUGGAUGUGAAGGAGAGAAAAUUGGUGAGGAACACCUCAGGGAACACAUCAUGUACCAUAUUAAAGAGAUUGGAUUUAUCCUAAAAGCUACAGGGAGCUAACAAAGAAAGGCUGUAAUGGAGGACACUGAUGUGUUCUGAUUUGUGGCUCGCGCUGGUAACAAUAUCAAGAGUGGAUGCAGGGCAUGGGGAUGUGACAGUUGUUGUAUCAAUUAUUGCAGUAAAUGACAAGGGCCAGAAUUUAAACAAAUAUGAAAUGUCAGUAGGGAUAGAAUUUUUCUAUCAAAAAUAAUUAGGCUUUCCAACUAUGCUUAAUAAAUUUAAUAUGUUGAAUAGCUUGCAGAGAAUAAAAUGAGUGUGUAGUGGAUAUAAUGUGGAAGAUACAGAUCAAUAGUACACAUAUUUAUAAAGAUAUAUUCUCCUCAGUCCAAGAAUGAAUAUCAUUUUGGCCAAAAUCCAUUACCAAGCAGCUGUGUUACCCACAUUUAAUUCUGUGGGCUUUGCCUGUUUUAAUUUGAACAGCAGAACCUGUGAGGUAGGGGCUCUUAUUCCUCUUAUAAGAAACUGAGUUAUAUAGAGGUGUGUGAGUUUCCAAGGCUUCAUAGCAGAUUCUGGAAUGAAAACAUGUCUGUCUUCAGAGACAAUGGUUGUAAUAAUUAUGCAAUAUGCCCCAUCUUCUAAUUCAAAUAUUUGGAAUGCUCUGCCUACUACUACAGUUAAUUCCACACCAAAGCUGAAAUUACUUAUAGUAGGUAAGACUUCCAUGAGCUAAGUGAUUGAAUCCUGGCUUAUGUAAAGCCAUCAGGUAAUAGACACAGAUUUAGCUGCAGGUGCCAUGCUGCACAUUUGCAGCUUAAUGACCAAAGAGGGCUGAUGAGUAGUCAUGGUGGCAAUCAUUGCUACAAGGAAAGGAGAUGGAAAUGAGGACAGACUGCUGUGAUGGGAGACAGAGGUUGGAAGCACUAAUAUCAUCAAUAUUAAUGCCAGUUGCAAUGUGAGCUCAGUGCCAGGGAGGCUGGUGAAGUGGACACCCAUGAGAGGCUAAUAGCUACAUCUAAUCAUCAAAGGGCAGAUGUUAAAUGUGAUUCAGAGGAAAGUGAGAGGAAGUGCUAACAAUGGCACAGAUGAAGAGAUAGGCUGAUACACGUGGUGAAAAUUGUCUAACACAAGCAUUAUCUUGGAGGAAAGAAGAGCAGAAGGGAGGGGAAGUUAUUCCUCAAAAUCCAUAAUUUUUUUUAAUUAGUCCAAGCCAGGCGCAAGAAAAACAACAUAACAAAUAUUUAAACACAUUUACAAACCCCAAUAAUUAAACAAAAAGUCAAAGCAAGUGAUUUUUUUCAAAGGAAAUACUGUGGUGUUAUCAUGGAAAUAUGUCUUUUAAAACAUCUUUAUCGAGUGAAAAAAAGAAUAUAAAUAAAAAUGGCAAAAAAAUCUCAAUGCUGCCAUUCUUUUUGUGUGUGUAUCCACAUAUCUAGAGAUCAUCUUAUAUAGAGUGCCUCUUCUCAUCUCCUUUGAGCUUUUGUGUUUUGUUGCUAAGGGAUGUUGAUGAGGCUAGCAGGAAUUUAUCAUCAGUGUGUUGAAGUGGAAGAUAGUAGAUGUUGUUAAUCUGUAGAUUGUAGAGCUCUUCCUACAGUGCUUCAAUCAGUUUACCUGUUAACACAAAAGAUUCCUAUUUCAAAAAAUGCAAAACUGUACGUAAUAGUGUGCCUGAGAGCAUUCAAAUGUAUUUAACUUUGACCUUCCUCAUCACUUCCAAUUGAGUAAACAAUCUUCCAAUGCUGCUGACAGCACCACUCAGUAAUAUUACUGUAACUAGUACAAGUCAUAUUCCCAGGCCAAAAGUAAAAAUUUCUUAGGGUGUCUGAUCUGUAGUUGCAGCAGCUAGUGAAUUUCUACCAGAGAUAAAUAUUUUUAAAAGCAAAAUUGAAACAACCAUCUCAACUAUUCACAAUCCGACAGCCAAAAGCUAAAUUAUCCUCCAAAUUGGAGAGGAACUCUACCAAGACUGAAAAUAAAAAGUUAUGAAGACCUGGCUUAUAGUAAUGUUUAGCAUUAGAGCAAUUGUACUUUUUUAUACAACAAGAUACACAUCACAUUUACUUCAUAUAAAUAAGAAUAGAUGAGAUAUGUGAAGAAGCGAAGUAAAUUAUGGGAAAAAAUAUAAGAUGAUAGACUAUAAGGGUAAAACAGGUGCAUUAAUAUUAAAAGUAGUGAAGACAUAGAUGUGAGACUUUCAUAAACAAUAUGUUAUAUAUAAAACAAAACAGAAAUACUGGAAUGGUGGAAAGAAGAACAAGACUUCAGCAGCUUUAGAUCCUAGUAUUGCCCUCAACUUGCAUUAUCCACUCCUAUUCUUUAUAAAUCUCAAAAGAGCUUCUAAUUUAGUUAAGUUGAUUGCCUUCCAUAAAGGUUAUCUAUAUCCUCACCUAGAAGAGUGAAAGGAAUGAUGCAAGAAGUUAACAACUAUUUGUUGAGUUAAAGAAUUAAUGUAGCCUAAAACAGGUCUUUUGAUUCCUAUACUUACAACUUUGUUUCUAUAUUUCACCUUUUAAGUCGUCUUCUUUGAAUGUUACUCAAAUGAUUCCAGAUCCCUCUAAAAGUCCUUACCUAUGGUAAGACAUUUUUGGGCAGUUUUAGCCCCAAAUAAUUUACCUUGUAAAAUUAUAUUUAUUUUUGUUUCUAUUAAUGUAACAAAUUAUAUACUGUAUGAGAACAUUUUAAUGGUUAUUUUGUGGUACAUAUGUAUAGAGUCUUCAAUGUUUGUAUAUAAGUGCUAUGAUCUGAAAGUUUGUGUCCCCCCAGAAUUUACGUAUUGAAACCUAAUAUGAUGGUAUUAAAAGAUGGAACCUUUGGGAGGCGAUUAGGUCAUGUGUGUAGGACGAUUAUGAAUGGGAUUAACGCCCUUAUAAAAGAGACUCCAGAGAACUAGCUUGAACUUUUCAUGUGAGGAAACAGCAAGAAGGUACCAUCUUUAAACCAAAACAGGAAAGGGGCCUUCACCAGAAACAAAACUUGCUGGUGCCUUUAUCUUGGACUUUCCAGCCUCCAAAACUGUGACAAGUAAAUUUCUGUUUAUGAGUUACCAAGUCUAUGAUAUUUUGUUACAGCAGUUUAAACAAACUAGGACAAUUUAUGUAUAUCUAUUCAAUGUCAUGGUAAGUUUUUUGAAAGUCAAGAGCUCAUCACUAUAUAUUUGGUAUAUUUACUUAGUGCCCAGCAUAUUUUUGUGUCAUGAUAUGUGUACAGAAACAUUGAAAGAAUAAUGCAAUAACCAUUGAAACAAGGAUGGAAUUACAAAAAAAAAAAAAGAGAAAGAGCUCUGUGAAGACAAGUUCCAGACUCUUUUGCAUAUAUUACUUAAGGAAAUUAAAGAAAGUGAUUAUUAAAUAAUUUUUCUUCAAAUUAAGUUAGAAGAGAAAAUACUGAUAAUACUACAACUACAGAUUUGCUCAGCAAAGCAUUUACAAAGAUACUUUCCUAUAGUAAGAGAGAACUCUUUCUAAAAUUGGUGCUGUAAGCAGUUAAGUAAAUUAAACAAUAACCAAAACAUUCAAGUACUAUUUUAACUUGAUGCAUCAAAAAUUACAUUAGCUUGUAAACAAAUAAUAAAAAUAUUUUUGUAAAUUUUGCCUUUGUUUUUAUUUGAUAUAUCCAUUUCAACAGACAAAAUGCAUACAUUAGGUUUAACCCAAUAAAAUAAACUUGAAAGAAUGGUUGGUAAUAAACAAAGGAGGACAAAGAAAAUGAGAGAUGACAUCAUAAGAGAGUAACUGUGAACAAUAUCUUGAAAGUUGAAAAACACUGUCUUCAGUAGAACAAGGACAGCUGAAACAUAAAUGCUUACUAAAAGGGAUAGUUAUAAGAAACAAGCUGAAUCACCAUGUAUGACAUAAGAGAUGCUCAGGAUUGGACAACCUGUUGCUGUAGAAGAAUGAAAUAAACUUAAGAAUAUACCUUGAUUGAAACUCUGUGGAGCAGUUUGACUUCUGGCACGCCCACUGAUCUAGUGGCAGCUUAAGCCAUUCUAUUCUCCAAUCAUCAUAGAAAAUCUGAGUUUUUUUCCUUAUAGAAAUUUGUUCUGAGUUGAGAAUACUAGGCUGGUAAGAAGAGGCAUAGGGAUGACAUGGUAUUUCAGCAAGCUGAAGAGUAUAAGCCACAUCGUUUAUGAACCAAUUGACAUUAAGUUCCCAAUAUUCACUGUUAGACCAGCAAAAGCCUGGCUUACUUCCUCUUCCCAUUGCAGGAAGCUUAUCAUGCUCCAAGUACAUCCCACCACAAUCUGAGCUUGCAAGAAACUUUUAAAUUCUUCAUGAUGAGAUAUGAGUGGAGAGCAAUGAUUUUUAUACAUUUGGUGAGAAAACUAACAUCAAACAGAGUGACAAAAACAAUUGAAUUAAUAACAAGAAUAAUUAAUGGCAGGUCAAUGAGCUCAUUCCAAUUCAGUGUUUUACUUCUGGUGCUUACUAUAAGUAAUCCCAAGAAAGGGAAGCAACGAGACAGCAUUUAAGUUCUGAUACUAAGUGGUAAAGAUCUAACACCACUAAAGCUCACUUGCAAAAAUUAGAAGAGGUGGCUGUCUCCUCAAAUACAUAGGCAUCAUUGUAAAGAUGCAAGAAUCUUGAAAACUCAGAGAAAUUUAACAUAACCAAAAAAAAAAAAAAAAGAAAGAAAGAAAGAAAAAAAAAAAAAAACAAUGCUCCAGCAAUGAAUCCAGAAUUCAGGAUCUCUGAAAUGUCUGACAGAUAAUUCAGAAGAAGUUCAGAGAAUCACAAGAAAAUACGUAUAAAAAACUAAAUAAAAUUUGGAAAACAAUACAGAAACAAAAGAUAAUUGAGAAAGAAAUAGAAACAAUUAAAAAAGGAAAUCCUAGAAAUGAGUAAUUUAAUAACUGGACACAAACUCAUUAGAAAUUUUCAACAUCAAACUUGAUCAAACAGCAAAAGAAUAAGCAAGCUUAAUGACAGAACAUAUGAAAUUACCCAAUCAGAGGAGAAAAAAAAGAAAAGAAUAAAAAAGAGUGAAGAAGGCCUAUGAGGAUUAUAGGACACAUCAAUAAAUUAAUAUCCACCUACUAUGAAUUCCUGAAGGAGGUGAGAGAGAAAAAGGCCUUGAAAGCAAUUUUAAGAUAAAUAGUGACUGAAAAUUUUCCAAAUCUGGAGAAAGAUGACAGCAUUCAAACACAGGAGCCUCAGAGGACACCCAUGAAAUUCAACCCAAAGAGGAAUUUCCCAAACACGUCAUAAUCAAAUUAGUUUAAAAAAAUAAGAAUUCUCAAGGCAUCUAGAGGAAAGAAACAUAUCACAUUCAUCGCAGCCCAAAUAGGGCUUUCAACAAAUUACUCAGUAGAAACCUUGUGUGUCAGAAGAAAGUGGGAUGCUAUAUGCAAAGUGCUAAAGAAAGAAAAAAAAAGUGCCAAUCAAGGAUAUUGUACACAGCAAAGCUAAUGCUCAAAUAAAAAAGAGAAAUAAAGACUUUCCUUUCUCAGAUAAACAAAAGCUGAGGGAAUUUAUCAACAGUAGGCCUGUAUUACAAAAAAGUAUUAAAAGGAGUUAUUUAAUCUGAGAGAAAUAAUAAUGGACACUAACAUGUAACAAAGAAACAUCUAAAGGUAUUAAACUCACUGGUGAAAAAAUAAAACAAAUUCAGAAUAGUUUAAUACCUUAAUUGGUGUAAAUAAAUCACUUGCAUUUAAGUAUAAAGAAUAAAAGAUAAAACUAUUCAAAAGAAUAGUAACUACAACAAUUGGUUAAGAGAUAAGUCAUAUAAAAAGGUAUAAAAUGAAACAUCAAAAAGAAAAAAAUGUGGUGCUAACCUGAAGAAUUUCUUUUCGUUGCUUUUAUUUGUGAUUAAAGUUAAGUCAUUAUCAGUUUAAAAACUAAUUAUAAGAUUUUUUUUUGUAAUUCUCAUGGUAACCACAAAGCAAAAACCUGUAAUAGAUAUACUAAAAAUAAAUAGCAUAGAAUGCAAACAUGCUAAUAGACAAAAUCACUUAACCACAAGAGAGGUAAAAAGGAAGAAAUGAUUUGCAAAAUAACCAGAAAACAAAUAACAAAAUAUAAACAGUAAACCUUUAUCUAGCAAUAAUAACCUUGAAUAUAAAUGAAUUCAACUCUACAAUUAAAAGUGAUAGAGUGGCUAAAUGGAUUUUAGAAAGACUCAAGUAUAUACUGUGUACAAGAGACUCACUUCAUUUAUAAAGAUACUCACACACCGAAAAUAAGAGGUGGAAAAAUAUAUGCCAGGAAAAUCAAAGACAAAGAAAAGUAAGAGUAGCUAUACUUAGACAAGAUAGACUUUAAGUCAAGAAUAGUUAAAAACAAAAAGGCACAGAAGACCAUUAUGCAAUGAUAAAGAGGUCGAUAGAGAAAGAAGAUAUAACAAUUGUAAAUAUAUAUGCAUCCAAACACAAGAAUAUGCAAAUACAUAAAACAAAUAUUAACAGACCUAAAAGGAGAAAUUGGCUGUAAUAUAAUAAUGGUAGAAAAGUUCAACACCCCACUUUAAGCAAUGAACAGAUUAUUCAGCAGAAUUUUUAUUUAAAAUUGAAUUUAAACUUCUCUCUAGACCAAAUGAACCUAACAGAUAUUUAUAUAACAUUCCAUCCAACAGCUGCCCAAUACACAAUUUUCACAACAGCUUAUAAAACAUUCUCCAAAAUAGAACAUAUGUUAGGUUACAAAACAAGUCUGAACAAAUUUUUAAAAAUGGAAAUCAUAUCAAGUAUAUUCUCUGACCACAAUGGAAUAAAGUUUGAAAUCACAACAGAAGGAACAUUGGAAACCAUACAAAUUUAUGGAAAUUAAACAGUAUGUUCCUGAACAAUGAGUAAGUCAAAGAAAAAAUUAAAAACAAAAUUUAAAAAUUCCCUGAGACAAAUGAAAAUGGAAACACUCUUACCAAAACCAAUGGGAUACAGCAAAAGCAGUUCUAAAUGAGAAGUUGGUAACUAUAAGCACCUACAUAAAAAAGUAGAAAGACUUCAAAUAAAAAACCUAAUGAUGUACCUCACAAAACUAGAAAGCAAAAACAAGCCAAACCAAAAUUAGUAGAAGGAAAGAAAUAAUAAAAAUCAGAGCAGAAAUAAAUGAAAUUGAGACCAAAAAUGCAAAAGAUCAACAAAACAAAAAAGUUGUUUUUUUAAAAAAACAAAAUUGGCAAACAAUUUACCAGAUUCAGAAAAAGAGAAAAGACCCAAAUAAAUAAAAUCAGAGACCAAAAGGAGAUUUAAAAGUGAUGCCACAGAAUUACAAAAGAUUAUCACAAAUAUAAAAAAAAAAUGCCUACAAAUCAUAAAACCUAGAAGAAAUGGAUACAUUUCUGGACUCACACGACCUACCAAAAUUGUACCAAGAAGAAACAGAAAACCUUAACAGACCAAUAAUGAGUAAUGAGAUUGAAGCACUAAUAAAAAGUUUCCCAUUAAAGAAAAGCACAAGACCUGAUGGCUUUACUGCUUAAUUCUAUCAAACAUUAAAAAAAUACUAAUACCAUUUCUUCUCACACUUGUCCAAAAAACUGAAGAGGAGAGAAUACUUCCUAAUUAAUUACACAAGGUCAGGGUUAUCAUAAUACCCAAACCAGGCAGGAACUCAGCAACGACAAAAGCUACAGGGUAGUAUUUACGAUGAGCAUAGAUGAAAAAUUAUACACAAAAUACCAGCACACCGAAUUCAACAACACAUUAAAAAUCAUUCAUUAUGAUCAAGUAGGAUUCAUCCCAGGGAUGCAAGGAUGGUUCAACAUAUACAAAUCAAUAAACAAAACACAUCACAUUAACAUAUCAGUGCAAUGCAAAUCGAAACCGCAAUGAGAUAGCAUCUUGCCCCAAUUAAAAUGGAUGUUAUAAAAAAGUCCAAAAGUAGCAAAUGCUGGUGAGGGUGCAGAGAAAGGGAAACACUAGUAUUUUAUGACUGACAAUGUAUAAUAAAUUAGUAUAGUUACUGUGAAAAACAAUUUCGAGCUUCCUCAAAAAACUAAAAAUGGAACUAUCAGACAGGUGUAGUGUUGCACAACUGUAGUUCCUGCUGCUCAGAAGACUAAGGCAGGAGGAAGGCUUGAGCCCAGGAGUUUGAGGAUGCAGUGAGUUAUGAUCACAUGACAGCACACCAGCCUGGAUGACAGAGUGAGUCCCUGUUUCUACAAAAGACAUUAAAAAUAAAUAAAUGAAAGUAGAACUACAAUAUAAUCCAGAAUUCCACCACUAGGUAUAUAACCAAAAGAAAAGCAAUUAGUAUAUGUUGAAUACGUGUGCUUGUUUAUUGCAGCAUCAUUCACAGUAGCCAAGAUACGGAAUCAAACUGUUUAUCAAUUGAUAAACAGAUUUUGUAAUAUACAUAAUGGAAUAUUAUUCAGCCAUAAAAAAUGAAAUUUUGUCAUUUGCAGCAACAUGGAUGAAAUUAGAGGACACUAUGUUUAGUGAAAUAAACCAUGCACAUUAAUAACAAAUAUCACACAUUCUCACUCAGAUGUGAAAGCUCAGAUGUUGCUCUCAUGGUGGUAGAGAGUAAGAUGAUGGUUACCAGAGGCUGUGAAGUACUGAGGAAGGGGGGAUAAAAUGAAGCUGGGUAAUCAACACAAAAAUACAGUUAGAUAGAAAAAGUAAGUUCUAGUCUUUGCUAGUGCAGUUGAGUGACCGUAGUUAGCAAUAAUUUAUUGUACAUUUCAAAAUAGCUAAAUAAUAAUAUUUGAAAUAUUCCCAAUACAAAGGAGUGGCAAAUAUUUGAAGCAAUAUUACUGACAGAUACUGAUAUUUAUCCUAAUUACUCUUGAUUUAAUCAUUAUAUGUUGUAUACUUGCCUCAAAUUACUACAUGUACCCCAUAAAUAUGUACAAUUAUUAUUAUUAAUAAAAAAGAAUUACAGCUAGAAUAAGUUUAAACACAUCAAAUAUGGUAAUUUUUUUUGCUUUUAUAAUAAUACUAAACAACAUCAAACAAUGAUUUUAAAAGUAUUCUCUUUGAUUAAACUUUGAGGAUGUUUGGGAAACAACUCACUAUUUUGAAAACUAAUAAAUAAGGGAAUAUUAAACAUUCCAUUAUUUCCUAUACAAACUAUGCCUCAGGGUCAGCAAAUAGUUGAUGAUAAUUUUUUUUCUUUAUGAAAGUUUUCCAGCUAAAUUAUGGAAAAGAAAAUACAUAAUGGAAACAGUACAGAAGAGAGGGACAUAUUUUAAAUGACAUCAUAUGGAUUUAACUGAAACCUGAAGCAUCAGAAUUGAAAUCUAAAGCAUCAGAAAUCAUAGUAGGAGACAAAUCAACUAAUUUGCUCAUCAAGUAUUUUCUGAAAAGGUGGAUUGCUGCUUCAAAGGACCUGGACCCAGAGGCCCUGUCCAUGAAUGUUUCUUGCUUGGUUCCGAGGCCACCAAACAUACUGGCUGAGCCUUCUGUAUUCACCCUGGCCUAUCAAUGCCAUCUAUGAGAGCAGCCACACUGAGAGAGCAGCAGCAUGGAGCCUACUCAAGGGUUUGUUUCAAAAAUAUAUGGAAAACAAGAAAAACCAAAAGAGGAAACCAUUUCUAAUGAGGAGACUAGUUCAAUUAUUCUGAAGUCAAGCCCUGCUAAUCAAGGAGUUGGACCGACUGUGACAUUUGGGGAAGCCCCACAGAACAGGAUGGGAUCUUUUAUGAAGAAAUGGAUUGGGAAGAAAAACAUAAGAUAAGGUUGGAACCUCUUCUGGUGCAAGAAGGUCCUAAAUAUUACUGAGGAUCUCUCAUCUUCUAGGUGAAGCUCACAAAAUUGCCCUGGAGGUUGCUGCCUUCCUGGAAGCCAGAGUGAAAAAAAAAAAGAGGACAUGCAGUUGCACAUGGGAGGAUUUUGUGGGCCAUGGUUAUCAGGGCACAAUCCCUUAGCUCACCUUUCUCUGGUGAGAAAACACUUCCAGUGCCACACCUCAGUCUCCUCCCUCUGGUGAAAAAAACACUUCCAGUGCCACACCUCAGCCUCCUUCCUCUGGUGAAAAAACAGUUCCAGUGCCAUACCUCAGCCUUUCCUCUGGUAAAAAACACUUCCAGUGCCACACCUCAGCCUCCCUCCUCUGGUGAAAAAACACUUCCAGUGCUACACCUCAGCCUCCUUCCUCUGGUGAAAAAAUACUUCCAGAGCCACACCUUACCCUCCUUCCUCUGGUGAGAAACUACUUCCAGUGCCACACCUCAGCCUCCUUCCUCUGGUGACAAAACACUUCCAGUGCCACAACUCAGCCUCCUUCGACUGGUGAGAAAACACUUCCAGUGCCACACCUCAGCCUCCUUCCUCUGCUGAGAAAACACUUCCAGUGCCACAGCUCAGCCUCCUUCCUCUGGUCACAAAACACUUCCAGUACUACACAUCACUGCUGGAGAACUGGAGAGUGGAGUCUUCCAGCCCAAGAAGAAAGAAAUAUAGGAUUUUGUCAAGUACCAGAAGUUUCUGCCACACUCAGUGGGCAUUCUUUGAGUUAGUUUUUUUAGUAUAUUUCACUAAAAACUGUGAGAGAGGAACCCUUAAUAUAGGUCCUGCAAAAAACAAGUAUUCAAUAAAUCCUGUUGAAUCAAUAAAUGAAUCACCUCUUCCAAAAUAAGCUUAAUUGUUUAAGUUACUAGCAAAAUGCCUAAAUGAAAAUUAACCAUUCUAUAGAGACAUUAUUGAGUUAGUUCAUUCAGCCAUUCAAUAAAUGUAUUCAGUGUAUGUUUAUAGAAUAACUAUAAUUUACCAACUGUUUUAGGCAUGGGGGGUACAGCAGUGAAUAAAAUCAUCCAACUACCUAUUCUAACAGAGAUUAAAUUCUAGUGGUACAAGCAGCAGACGAACAAAUGAAUAAUUUCAUAUAUUCAUCCAUGCAAUAAUAUUGAAAAUUUUAUUUUCAAUAAAUAAUCAGUGGUCCUCAACCUUUUCGGCAUCAGGGAACAAUUUUGUGGAAAACAAUUUUUCUACAAACGGGUGGGAGAAUGGUUUCAGGAUGAUUCAAGCACAUUACCUUUAUUGUGCACUUUAUUUCUAUUAUUACUGCAUUGUAAUAUAUAAUGAAAUAAUUAUACAACUCAUCAUAAUGUAGAAUCAGUGGGAGCCCUGAGCUUGUUUUCCUGCAACUAGACAGUUCCAUCUGGGGGGAAUGAGAGACAGUGACAGAUCAUCAGGUAUUAGAUUCUCAUAAGGAGCAUGCAACCUAGAUCCUUUGCAUGUGCAGUUCACAACAGGAUUCAUGCUUCUAUGAGAAUCUAAUGCCACCACUGAUCUGACAAGAGGUGGAGCUCAGGAGGCAAAGCUCACUCACCUCCUGCUGGGCUACUUGGUUCCUAACAGGCCAUGGACCAGUACUGGUCCAUGACCUGAGGGUUGGGGACCACUGACUUAGAUUCUAGUGGAAAAAGAUGGGCUGUAAACAAACUAUGUAAGAAAAUAAUACAAGCAUAUUAGUGGGCCAGCUGUAGCAUGGUGGGAAAACAGGGCCAUGAGGAAAUGAACAAGCCCAUUUUACCAGCUGGGGUCAGGAAUAAUAAUGAUGUGGAGUCCCUUGAGUAUGGGGGAGCUACAGAAAGCAGAAACUGAACCAGGCUCUGGCCAGGGGACCCAUGUGCUGCGGCAGUGCUAGGAACCUGCACAACUCAGCCCAUAGCCCAGUUGAAUUAGCCCAUGCUGGCACCCACAUCUUGCUUGGGCACUGUCUCACGGUUUGACACUGGAGAUGGGUAUGAAGCCCUCUACUGGAUUAAUAAAACAAAUAAUACCUUUGUUCACAAGAUGAUCUUAAGAAGAACAGCAGAUGAGGACCCUGUAAAAUUUUAUUUUCCAGCAGAGAGGGUACAGAAGCUGAUUUUGUGAUUGAUUGGAAUGGGACAGCAGUGAGGAGCCACCAUUUUGCUCACAGAUGAAAGAUCACCCAUUGUAAGAGGCUGCCUGAAGAGAAAACAAGAUCCCGGUAGAAGACACAAAACUUCCACGUCAGAGACAAAGGAUUUCAUUACUCAUGGCAAAAGCAGGAAUCAGAGCUUCACAUUUGCUGGUGUCAAUUUCUCAUACCCUCAAAUCCCAGAAGCAUGACACAAAAGAGUCCAUGAUGGAUGUCUGAAUACACAGUGGGCUGUGUUAGAAGAGAGUAACACUGAGCUCAGGUGAUCUCUGCUUCUGUAGUAAGCUUGCACUUUGUCUCGGGGGAGACAUUCCCUCAUCACUCAAGACUGUUCCCUGCAAACACAACCUUGAAUAAUGGCCCAGAAGAGUGGUGAGAGUUCUAAAUUCCUGGCACUUCCAGCAAGUAUGCUCAGGAACACCAGGGCCCAAAGUGGAUUGCCUCUUCCUAAAAAUAUGUUUAUGACUGAAGCCCUUUCCUUUAAAAUGUUAGGUGAAUAUGGAUCUUUUAUUUGCUGUCCUAUUUCAUUUUCAAUAAUUCUGAGUAUGACUCACCAAAAUGAUUUCACAAAAUAAUCUGUAGUAACCUUCAAUUUAAACAACAAACAAAUAAAAAAAAUUGCUAUGUUAAGUAUAUAUUUGAGAGUGUAAUUGCAGAAUUACAUUCUUCCUUAACAUACAAUGUGAAUGGUUUUAUAAAGUGAUUUGUCAGUUAUUUAUCAUUUGCUUUUCACAAGCGGUGUAUGAAUAUUCCCCUUGCCAUAUGUCUCCACCACCACUUGGUUUUGUCAGACAUUUAUUGUUUGAUAAUCAAAUACUGCAUAAUUAUAUCUGAUUUGGUUGUAAUUUGCAUUUUACUUAUUAUUAAUGAGGUUUAGCAUUGCCAUAUGUGUAUAAGUCAUUUGUUUUUCAUUGUCUGUUAAAUGUCUGCAUAUGACUUUGGCCCGUUUUAAAAUUGAGAUAUUUCUUUCUUUUAGAUUGAUACAUGAAUUAUUUACAUUUGUGAGUUAUGAAUAUUGUCAAUAACGUCUCACUGUAGAUCAAUUUUUCACUGAAUUUCUGGUAUCAUUUUAUAAAUUAAAUUUAUUUUAAUGUUUCAAGUAUUCUAUUUUAAACUGAUAUUUUAUGGUAUUUGUCAUGUAUAAGAACUCAUUCUAGAUCAUUAGUCAUAAAGAUAUUCAUCUAAAUUUUCUUCAAAACUGUUAAAUGUCUUUAACAUUUAAGUCCUAAAUACAUCUGAACUGGUCCAAUAAUCCAAAUGAAUCAAAUAUCUAAGAAAAACUGUAACAAAGGAAGAGACAAAUCUAUAGAGAGUACAUUAUAAAACAUUCUUGAGGGAGAAUCAAUAUGAACCUAAAUUAAUAGAAAACUAUUUAUGGAGGGAAAGACAGUAUGUAAAGAAGCAAAUUAUCUUCAAUUCAUCUGUAAAUUUACUGCAAUCUCAAUAAAAAGUCAAGUAGAAGCUUUUUUGUUGAAAUUGAUAAGCCAAUAAUAAAUUGUAAAUAUUCAAAGAUCUAAUGAUAGCUAAUGCAAUAUUGAAGAUAAACUGAAAUUUUGGAGAAUCAAGACUUAUUUGAGGAUUGCAGUAAUGAAGACAGUGAUUAAUUGUGCAAGAAUAGACAAACCAUCCAAGAAAACAAAAUAGAGAGCUGAAAAGCAGACCCAGGCUUAUAUUGAUCAGUGAUAUAGGUGGCAUAACAGGAGGGUGACAAAAAGACAGUUAUUUCCAUAAAUUGUACUUCAUCAAUUGUAUAUCUGAGAGAGAGAGAAAGAGAGAGAAAUUGUUUUUAUUCAUAGUAUAAUAUAUAAUUGCUUCUAUUCAUAGAGAGAAAGACAGAGAGAUAACUGUUUCUAUUCAUAGUAUAAGCAUCUUAAUUUCAGGUGGUUUUUAGAUUUUUAUGUGAAAGUUAAAAAUAGUAAAUCCUAAGAGAGGAUAAUAUAGAGGACGUUUUCACCACAUGGGGUAUAUAAAGAUUAAUAAAACUGGACACAAAGUCUCUGAUUAUAAAAAAAAUUGACAAAUAUUUUGACUGUAAGAGAUUAUAUUAAUAAAUACACAAUACAAUUUUAAGAGAAAUGAAAUGAGAAAUGAAAAGAGCAGCAGUAGAGUGGGAUGUCAAAGUACAUAUGACUGACAAAAAAUUACAAAAUCAAGACUAAAAUGGCAUACCACUAGAGCAGCUAUAAAUACAAAGAGUAAAAAUGCUCUUCUGUUUGGAGGACGUGAAGCAUGUUCUUGGGCACUGAUUACGUGAGUAGGUAGCUUUUCCUGAUUAUAUCCUCUGCAGAGUUUUCAUAGUGUAUCAUGUCUAGAUCACAACUGGAAAGAUCUAUGGCAAAUUCAUCAUCUGUCAAUGAGCGCAACCAAUAUUUGUUACAAUUUUACCAUGUUUAAUUGUGAAAGAGUUCUUAGAGCAUCAAAACACAUAUCCAGAAAUACUAUCCUCAAGUACCAGGCAAUAUUUAUUUUUUUUCAGUUACUUUUCUGCCCUAUAUUUAUCACUAAGCUCAUAUGAACUUUUAAUUUUUUAAAAAAACCUUUAGGUGUCUGUUUUACUCAUUCCAGAGAGAAGGAACUUAUUGGCACAUGACUGAUUUAUUAAAUACACUCAAUAAAAGUUGGCAUUUUUACAGUCAGCAAGCUCAAUAAAGUUCACAAAUAAAUCUUCUAUAGUUCUCAUAUUUACAUAUUUCUCAUAUUACUCUUUACCUAGGUAUCUAUCAACUUUGAAAGAUCCAAAAAUAGAACAUGAGGGCCAUAAUUGUCUGGAAAUGAGGAGAGGGUAUAUUUCUUUGUGAGAAUUUUUUGUGUAAAUGAGUAAGUUAAGAUGAUAUUAUAAAACCAAUUAUUAUAAAAUUCCUGAGGAUAUCCUCUAUAGCAUGUACUUUGGCAUUGAUUAUCUAUAUGAGUAGGUAGCUUUUCCUGAUUACAUCCUUUAUAAAGUUUUCAUAGCAUAUCAUAGCUAUGAAAAUAUUUUUCAGAAAAAGAUAAACCACACAGGAAUAAAUGAUAAAGUGAAUGAUAACUUUUCAGUUAAAAAAAGAACUAAAUGUACAAUGAAAUUUGGGACUAAAUAAAUGGCACUUCUGCACAAUUCAGAUCUUUUUCCCCCUUAUGCUGAGCCUACUUUGUUGUUUUGCAUAACCUACAACAUGUAGACAUCUCAGUUAGAGACCUCUAUCCCAUACCCUUUUUCCCCAAAAGUUCUUUCCUUUCAUCAGUGAUGGCUGAGUCGAUUCUUAGACUAGUUCCAAUGUAUUCCCUUGAUGUAAUCAUCAGAUCUGUCUCCCCUCAGCACCUUGUUUGGGGAUGCUUCUCAUUCUCUAUGCCUAGGUACAAUUUCAAAUCCAGAGUUGGAGCUGUCAUCUUCAUAAAUUCUCCUUAGAUUAUAGGAGUUCACAAAAUCUUGUCAUUUCUGUGUACUCUUCUCGGUCUUAAGAAAUGUUUCUCCUGGAAUAACCUGUGGUCACCCUCUGAUAGGUAUGUUCUGUUAUUAUGUUUUUGUGUAAAUUUUGUCAAGCUAAUGUAACUGUGAUUUUAUUUCACAUGAUCUAUAGGGCCUUACACAAACCUGAACCUAAUAAAGACAUGUGGGACAUAAUCUCAAAAUGAUAUCACUGAAACUCAUUUCCAACCCAAUUAAACUGUUCUCCUAGGGUUGGUUGACAGUCCAGAAUUAUUAGGCUUCUCAGUGGAGCCAGAACAAUCUGUCCAGUGAUACUUGAUCCGAUCAAGUGUUUUCAUGGGUGGUUUGGAAACCAUGUCUUGCUUUGCAGAUGUUAUUUAUCACAAAGUUGCCCCUAGCCCUUUAAUGUUGAGGAUUUGAUAUUAGUGGAGUUGUGGAAGUGAAAUUAUUAGGGUGUCCUUAAAGUCCUUUUCCAUAAAUGAAUGAUUUAUUGGAGCAAUGAAAGAAAGGAAUAAGUUUGCCUGCUCAAUAUAGCCCGUCAUUUUUGAUGAAUGUGACUCACCUUUCUGUAAGAAGUUCAAUUUAGCACUGGUACCAAUUCUUGAAUUUUAUAGAGAAGGAAAUUGUAAAAUGUCUUAGAAAUGUGGCCACGGAGAGAACAAACUGAGGUUGAAUGAUGCAAAAUCAGAACUACACUGAAUGCAACGUAAUGCCAAUGCUGUUCAAUGCCAAGAGACUUACAGGAUAAAAUUUGGCUUUUUCCUUUUGAAAUAAUAUUAGCUUGCUAUUGAGUAAAAUCAGGUAGCAACACUUCAUAACUCCAUUACCUACCUGUUUUGUAUUCAUUAAAGUGUGGCUUUCUUGGCCUGACUGUCAGUGGUAUGCUGAGAUGGCUUGCCACAGCUCCAGAGUGCAUUGUAUAUAUUUCUUCUUGACUUCACGUUAAGUGACAUUAUGUUGGUAGCUUGGAAUUGGUCAUGAUGAAGCUAUAUAUACCAGGAAAACUGGCACAUGCUGCAAAUGAAGGCUCCUGCUCUUCCAGAGAUCUAACUGUUAAGUAUUUAUCAGCAUACUACUAACCUGUGUUCAAAGGUUGAACUGCAGAAGCCUCU
rnacentral:lncRNA from 1 species